UUGACAACUUUUUAUUAUUAUGUCUUCACUUUUCUGUCGGUGUAUUCUCUUCCCUAUGUUAUUGUCUUUUCCUAUUCCUCUUCUUCUUCAAAAGCGUCGAUCCGAAGACAAAAUACAGAUUUUUGAAUCCUUUCUUUUGAUCUUAGAUCCGAUCUUAUAUUGUUCCUGUAAGUAUACUCUUUUUGAUUCAGGAUCGACAUCUUCUAAUCUAUAAAGGAGUAGAUUACCAUAAUCUUAUUUUGUGAUGGCAAAGUCUACGGAUCUUAUUCCUAAUCUGUCGACAGAUAAUAGUAACUGAUCGUAAAGAGAACAUAUAUUAGAAGGAACAAUAAGACAACCCCUGAAAAUAAGACAACCCCUGAAAAGAUAAGUCCACUUCUCUAUCUCUAUGCUAUAUAUAAUUGUUAAGCUAUGAAUGUGUUAUUUUGGUAGAAUGUUAUUUAAAGAAAACAAUUUGGAAAUAGAUGUUUUUGGUAAAAAAUAAUAAAAAUAUAUGGUUAUAUUGUUUAGUUUGAUGAUAUCACAUGUUUAGUUUGAUGAUAUAACAUGUUUAGUUUGAUGUUUGUUGGUAAAAAAGAAUACAAAUAGAUUAUCUUUCUUUGGAUAGUGAACAGUAGGACUUAUUUCUUUCAUUCUUACUAAUCGUUGUUGUUUAAUAUUAUAUAUACAUAAACUUUGUUUCAGGUACUUGAGUUACCCAAAGCAGAAAAUGUAGGCGUACCCGAAGCAGAAUAAAUAUCUUGGCCACAGUCAUCAAAUGCAGAAUAAUAAGGUUCAACUUCCACAAAAAUAUUCCCUUGAGAAGGUCCCUCAAUACCAGAAGAUACAGGUAUGUAUGAUAGUUUGUGUAUAGCAUGGGGUAACAAAUGUUCGGAGGGCAUACUGAAAGGGAUUCCAAUUACAAUAUGGCUCAAUCGUCAUUUUUCAGAGAGGAUUCGGUGACGUUGGAGCUAUUUAUGAUCGACAGCUUGAAUCCAUGGCUAGUCGGUCGGUACUUUCCAGCAGUUGGGGUCACUGAGAAAUUCUCAAUGAACCUCCACUGUCCAACGUGCAGUUUCUUAACACGACCAAGGAAGACUCUUUUGCAGGAAAAUCGGGUCGAUGGAGUGUAUACCAAGUCCUGUAAACCAAUGAUAAAGGUCCAAAAGAUAUCGUCUCUUUCACGUGCUGAAAAGCUAGAAGAUGAAACUGGUAGAAGAGUGUUAUAUUGAAAACGAACUAAUAUAGAUUUGGAAUUAUAAAUAAUAUCAAAUAGUGAACAGGAAGUGAAAGGUGAUCACAGAAAAUAUGAGGUAAUAAUAAGAACAAACUGAUGUAUUAUGUAAGUGAAGAGUUGUACCUUUGACUCAUAAGAAAAUUAUGAUUUUGGGUAACA